CCUACGGGUGACAGCAGUGAGGAAUAUUGGUCAAUGGACGAGAGUCUGAACCAGCCAAGUAGCGUGAAGGAUGACUGUCCUAUGGGUUGUAAACUUCUUUUAUAUGGGAAUAAAAUGUUCCACGUGUGGGAUUUUGUAUGUACCUUAUGAAUAAGCAUCGGCUAACUCCGUGCCAGCAGCCGCGGUAAUACGGAGGAUCCGAGCGUUAUCCGGAUUUAUUGGGUUUAAAGGGAGCGUAGGUGGUUUGUUAAGUCAGUUGUGAAAGUUUGCGGCUCAACCGUAAGAUUGCAGUUGAAACUGGCAGUCUUGAGUACGGGAGAGGUAUGCGGAAUGCGUGGUGUAGCGGUGAAAUGCAUAGAUAUCACGAAGAACUCCGAUUGCGAAGGCAGCACACUGGACUGCAACUGACACUGAGGCUCGAAAGUGUGGGUAUCGAACAGGAUUAGAUACCCUUGUAGUC
rnacentral:rRNA from 1 species